GGGGAAUUUUGGACAAUGGGGGAAACCCUGAUCCAGCAAUGCCGCGUGUGUGAAGAAGGCCUUCGGGUUGUAAAGCACUUUUGGCGGGAACGAAAUGGAGCUUGCUAAUACCAGGCUUCGAUGACGGUACUCGCAGAAUAAGCACCGGCUAACUACGUGCCAGCAGCCGCGGUAAGACGUAGGGUGCAAGCGUUAAUCGGAAUUACUGGGCGUAAAGCGUGCGCAGGCGGUUUUGUAAGACAGGCGUGAAAUCCCCGGGCUUAACCUGGGAACUGCGCUUGUGACUGCAAGACUAGAGUGUGUCAGAGGGAGGUGGAAUUCCGCGUGUAGCAGUGAAAUGUGUAGAGAUGCGGAGGAACACCGAUGGCGAAGGCAGCCUCCUGGGAUAACACUGACGCUCAUGCACGAAAGCGUGGGGAGCAAAC
rnacentral:rRNA from 1 species